AGCUUUGAGCAGUGACAGUAUCGUAGCCAAUGAGGUUUAUCCAAGGCGCGAUUAUUGCUAAAAGAACGUAUUGUGUUUUCCCCUCUGUGAAAUGUCUGUUCUUUCUUUUGCCCAAUUUUCUACUGAGUUUGUCUUUUUUUUUAAUGA
rnacentral:snRNA from 1 species